rnacentral:misc_RNA from 1 species
GAUGAAGAACGCAGCGAAAUGCGAUACGUAAUGUGAAUUGCAGAAUUCAGUGAAUCAUCGAGCCUUUGAACGCACAUUGCGCCCCCUGGUAUUCCGGGGGGCAUGCCUGUCCGAGCGUCAUUGCUGCCCUCAAGCACGGCUUGUGUGUUGGGCCUCCGUCCUCCUCCCGGGGGACGGGCCCGAAAGGCAGCGGCGGCACCGCGUCCGGUCCUCGAGCGUAUGGGGCUUCGUCACCCGCUCUUGUAGGCCCGGCCGGAGCUUGCCGACACAUCAAUCUUUUUUCCAGGUUGACCUCGGAUCAGGUAGGGAUACCCGCUGAACUUAAGCAUAUCAAUAAGCGGAGGA